GAAAUUCACCAGAGUUCCAAGCCGCAUCAACAUUUAGUUUCAAGUACGGCUUCGUCAGGGGAACCCAUCGAGCAGGUGAGUCCCGGUGAUAUUGCUCUGAAAUUUUUUUCCCCUUGUUGCGACUAACCGAAUCGAGUUGUUUUUGUGUCGUGGUGCUCAGAUCUGCCGGGGGAAUCCAUCGAGCAGGUGAAUCCCAGUGAUGUGGCUCUGAAAUUGUUUUCCCCUUGCUGCGACUAACCGGAGCGAGUUGUUCAUGUGCCUUGGUGUUCAAAUCUACUGGCUUCGUUGGGGAAAUCCCUCUAAUAGAUGAGUCCCAGUGAUGUUGCUUUGAAAUUUUUUUCCCCUUACUGCGACUAACCGGAACGAAUUGCUCCUUUGCCGUGGUGAUUAGAUCUGCUGGUUGUGGGUUUAUUCCGCGGAAGAUCCAGUGGUUUCUCGCCCUCCAUAUGUUCCAAAGAAGCAGGGUCGUCAUUUCUCGAGCUAGUAAAGAGGUUUUACCUCGAAACGCUUCCGUGAGCCACAGAUUUGAGCGUUGAAUGUGUUUAGUUGGCCGAAUCUCUGCAUAUCUCGAAUCUUGCCAUCCAUUGACACAAGAAGAACAAAUGCUCUGUUGUUUCGAUGUUGUUGUGACAAAAUGGGUCUUGAACGAUCUUUCUUUGGUGCAGAUUUUCUCUGGUUGGGAGAGCAUUUUGACACAAGCUCCAGAGGAACGUUUGGAUUUUAGGAAAGACAUCAAGGCUCCAGAUUUUAUUCCACAAGGUGCGUGGCUGUUGGUAGGAACUAGAGGGUUUCUGGAGCUCUGUUUUAGUAGCUUGUUGAGUUGCAAUAUUGUAGCCACUUUUAACAGAGUACUGUCCCGUUUUGGUGCCUGUCCAGAGUAACAUAUCUGGCUGGGGUUGUUGACUCAGAGGAAUCGCUAAGAUUUCAUUUGCUAUGCUUGGUUCAUAAAGCUGUUGAAUUACCUGCUGCUUCCAUUCACGUGUUUCUGUGUUAAUUAGUUUUGACACCUAAAAGGGUUCUAUUUGGGAUGCUUGGUUUCUCUGCCAAUCAUGAGUCCCUGCCAUCCCCAAGAUGAUCUGCGGCCCUUAGCUGCUGUCCACACAUCGCCAUGAGGAAAAUAAAUUCCUUUAAGGAGGCGACUCCAGAGUGCUGUUGGGGAAGUGGCCAAUCUCCAGAGUUGCUUUUCAAGCAUAGCUCUGAAGGUAAGCAAAUCCUUUAAUCCCAGCCCACCAUUAUUUUUUCUAGUUUUUAAUAUUUCCCAUCGUUUCCAAUGCAAUCCCCUUUUGGCAUCUCCUUUUUGCCACCAAAAUGACGCUGUUGGUUUCUCUAUGGCUUUGUAGAUAGAAACAGGGAUCUUGAAUAUAGACAUCGCAUAGGUAGGAAUGGACUGCACUACGCUUUUUAUCAAGACCUCCUUUCCUGCCUUGGUAAGCAAUUUCUCUUUCCAGCCUUCUUAUUUAGAGUUCACUUUGGCUAGAAUCCAGCUAAACAAUUCUCGCUUAGAGUUGCCCACUCUGUAGGAAUACCCAAAUAUCUACCUGUUUUCUCCAAUACAUUUACUCUCAUCUCUGUGGCCAUAUUCAUUUUUAAAUGAUCUGGACACUGUGCACUGAAGUAGAUCCCUGAUUUAUUUAAAUUAAUGGCUUGCCCUGUAGCAUUUUCCUAGUUCACUGCAUCAAAUUGAAUGCCUUUCCUCGUUUUGUUGAUGCUAUUCGUCUUCCAAAUAUGUCAUGUAAAUCUUACUCCUGUUUUCGGCAUCAUGGAGAGGCUCAUAUUGCCAAAGUUCCCACAAUUUCCAGGAAUCGUUAUAUCUGUGUGCAUAUCGUCACAUUGAGAAUAAAAAGUGAUAGAAUGGAAUGAACAUUAGCAUAUAUAUCAAUGAAUAUGGCAAUAGAUCUUGUGAUUGUUCUCAUUAACUCAUUAUUCGGAGCAGAAGUUCUUGUUCUCCUCAAGGAUCUGUG
rnacentral:lncRNA from 1 species